rnacentral:rRNA from 1 species
GACGAACGCUGGCGGCGUGCUUAACACAUGCCAGUCGAACGGAAAGGCCCUGCUUUUGUGCGGUGCUCGAGUGGCGAACGGGUGAGUAACACGUGAGUAACCUGCACUUGACUUUGGGAUAACUUCAGGAAACUGGGGGUAAUACCGGAUAGGAGCUCCUGCUGCAUGGUGGGGGUUGGAAGGUUUCGUCGGUUGGGGUUGGACUCGCGGCGUAUCCGCUUGUUGGUGGGGUGGUGGGUUACCAAGGCUUUGACGGGUAGCCGGCCUGAGAGGGUGACCGGACACAUUGGAACUGAGUGACGGCCCAGGCACUUACGGGAGGUAGCAGGUGGGAAUAAGGCUCAAUCGGCGGAAGCGUGAGGCAGCAACCGCGCGUGCGGGAUGUCGGCCGUCGUUAUGUAAACCGAUUUCGCCUGUGACGAAGCGUGAUGGACGGAACGGGUGAAGAAGCACCGGCUAACUCCGUG